UCCCAUACAUACUAACAGUUCAAGUUAAAUAAAAGCUUGUAAAAAUAAAGGUGUUUGUUCUGAUUUCCAAAAUAUUUCCAUCACAUAUCAAAUCAUUACCUGUUUAGGGAUAUGUACGCUAAUGAUUAACCUCAAAACAGUGCCUGUUUGAUUUCUGAAGUUGCCUUACGAAAUACUACAAGCUUAGUGUAGCAUGGUUUGUACAAUACACUUGCAACUACAUAUUUUGCUUUCCUCGUAUGUAACAUGAAAAGUAGUUUUGUUUAUGAUACUUACUAAUAGCUCCCGUUUAGAUUAUACUCAUAGAAGGGUAACUCCGGAACCCUACACUGAGCAUGGCCCGACAUGCUCAUUUGCUCAUAGCCGAUUUUUUUAGUACAUAUAGCGAUCUAUAAAAAAAUAAACAUGAUCUAAUUUCUUUAACUAUCCGGUGUCACCCCACCUUCCUCUAAAGUCCAAUAUUUUAAUCAUAUUCUUAAAAUUAUGAUAGUUCUAUUUAUAAAUAAUUACAAACAAAAGUUCUUAAAUAAAUUUAUAUCCAUAUAAAUUGUAUAUUUUUUAGAUAAAUUAUUUGCUUAACACCUUAAUUUCAUAUUGGACUUAUUGUUUAUGGUGUAAUUUAAAUACGGAUUUAGUUGUAGUUUUUAUAAUUACAACUAUAAGUUAUCUUUUUUUUUGCCAAAAAAGCUAUAAUUUCAAUUUUUCAAUAAAAUUGAUUUUAGGGUUCCGUAGCCAAAUUACUAAAAACGGAACCCUUAUGGAUUCGUCAUGUCUGUCUGUUUAUCUGGCCGUCGGUAUAUCACAGCCAGUUUUUUUCCGAAACUAUAAGAACUAUACUGUUGAAACUUGGUAAGUAGAUGUAUUCUGUAUGCCGCAUUAAGAUUUUCACACAAUAAUAGAAUAAAAAUAAUAAAUGAAACAAUGAAUGAGGUUUCCCCAUACUUAGAACUGAAACUCAUUUUUUUUGUCAUCAAACCCAUACGUAUGGGGUAUCUAUGGAUAGGUCUUCAAAAAUGAUAUUGAGGUUUGUAAUAUAAUUUUUUUCUAAACUGAAUAGUUUGCGCGAGGGACACUCCAAAGUGGUAUAAUGUGCCCCCCCCCCUGUAACUUCUAAAAUAAGAGAAUGAUCAAACUAAAAAAAUAUAUAUGAUGUACAUUACCAUGCAAACUUCCACCGAAAAUUGGUCAUUACCAUGCAAACUUCCGCCGAAAAUUGGUUUGAACGAGAUCUAGUAAGUAGUUUUUUUUUUAAUACGUCAUAAAUGGUACGGAACCCUUCAUGGGCGAGACCGACUCGCACUUGGCCGCUUUUUAUUUUAGGAUAAAAUUGAGUAGGUAAUUUGUAACUCUAGUUUGUAAUCUAGUGAGCUAUCGCUAUAAAGUUCUUUACGACUGUUCAACUGUGCACUUGGUGUUACUUUUUGGCGUCUUGAUUUCUAUGUAUGUGAUGUCUACGUAGGUACGUGCAUGACAUCUGUGGAAUAGACAUAAUGUAAUAUGUACUAUCUUAUUCUUAUUGUUUUAUAAAGUGUGGUCAUUAUACACAAACAAAUUAUAUUAUUCUCAGCUGACAAGUAUCAGUAGAAAUUAUCAGAAAUGGAUUACAUAAUUAAUAACAUUUUACCAGACAUCGAAUUUUAGUGGGAAAAUUAAAUGACAGUUAAGGAGUCCUAUAUCGAUAAACUCGAUUAUUGAUGUUUUUUUCAUGUAUCUAUUAUUUUAAUGAACAAUCAUGUUAUUAGGUGAUAAAAAUACAUAUGUUCAGUGAUCGGCUAAAUCAUACGUAUUUCUUAUGGUUUUUUUUGCCGUAUCGACUAGGUAGGUACCUUAAAUAUCUGCAAGUCACUUGUUCCGUAUAAUGUAACGUUUUUUAAAGCUUCAAAAACUUGAAUAAUUAUUAAAAUUUCUAUCGGUUGAUGUAUUUAUAUUUGACAAAGCGACGUGCCGCAGUGUUACUUCUAAAAACUACUUAACGGUGGCUUAUCCAAACCGUGAACAGACGUUGACGCCUCGUUAUCGAGCUUGCACCUUGCCGCUGCCGUUUUUGCGCCUUAACAUUUCAUAACCUAUUCAAAUGUAGCCAAGAUUAUGAAUUUAAUCAAAUAUCUUGCCCAUCAUCUUGACCUGCAUUUACCAACAACCGAUUCAAUUCAGGUGUAGAGAAAAGAUCAGAAGUUAGAAAAUGAAUAAUGUAACCAUCGAGCAGCGUCGACUACUGUGUUACAAUUUUUAUAGAUUGCCUGUGGAAAAUUGAAAGCUAUCUAUAGCUCACGUAUAAAAGAAGUACAAUAUACAUCCGGGACCCUUUUCUUUUUGCUAGCCGUUUUCUAUGUUAUCUCCAGCAUGUUCAUGGAUAAAACUUUUUCUCCGAGUAUGUGUUUUUUUCGGAUUUAACAUCUUAUGAAAUAAAAAUAAAGAGAAAAAUAUGCGUAACCAAACAAGUUAGUUGGUAACUCAUUUACGCGAUUAUUUUUUGGUUAAUAAUGAUUGCCAAUUUAUUAGGUAGUAAUCGUGAAAUUUUAUCCCUUUAAGGUAUUAAUUCUAGCUAAUGAACUAGGUAACGAUCGUUACUAGUUAUUUCAGACCUAUUUAUUGGGGCAUUAAUUCUUAUAAUGGUUGUUUUUAAAAUGACAGCUUACCAAGCAAAUUCGGAAUAUGAAAUAUAAAAGAUAUUUUUAGCCUUCAGUUUGCACAAAAUAUUAUAUAUUGUGUUAGCUUUAUUUAAUUAAUAACAAAUUAUUUACACAUACUUGUACUUUGUAUUAAUAAUAAUCUGAUUUAUUUACUAAAAGAAGUGAGUGUAAUGAUUAAACCAAGACUUGACAGCUGGCACGUCGACCAAUCAGAGCGCUGCUAAAAUGGUUUUGAGAUGGCCUUUGAGAAUUUAAAACCAUUAAGUCAGCCUCCUGCAUUUACUAUUGGCUUAUAAUGUAGGCGUAAGUUUGUUUACCUACUAAAACUUUAAAAUAAAAUACUUUUUUCUCAAGUCUCAAUUUUUCAAGUUGUAUGUGUAUAAAUAAUUAAGGCACCUGCCACCCGCUUACAAGCAGUCUUACCUCAGCGAAUCACGGUAGAACAGUUAACCUUCACAAUUAAAAAAUACUGUCUGUCUAUCAGUGAGGAAGAAACAAAAAACUUUAUCAGUUUAUUAUUACUUAUUCGCUACAUCUAAUACACAUGAUACUGAAUUUCAGAUGUUCUAAUUUCAUAACAACUGUGAAUGAUGAUGCAAUAUUGUAAUUACCAUAAAAAUUCUAUGCGCGUGACAAUACACCGUUAAACCCCAAGCCAAAAUCAACCCCAUUAUCUUACCAUGCCGUGCCUUUACACAAUCUCCAACUUUGUAUGCAAAGUCCAUCUUUUCAGGUAUACCUAAAGCCAGAAGUUAACGAGCGUGGAAACGGUAGCCAGUUUGAAGCUGUGAUGGCGAUUACGUGAACCGACGAUCUGGUCACGAAAAUCUCUUUUACUCUAACGGACACGACUAAUAACGGUAGCACUUAUAGCCUUGAGAUAAGAUACACAAUUGUAUGAACCAUGAUGUGCAUUAAGUACGAACACACGCGGUAUGCGACUGUUGUGAGCACUAAAGUAAUUUGGCCACGCGGGCACUUGAAGGUAUAGCUGCAAUCUCCAUACAAACAAAACGUUUGGGCGGUAGUACUGAACGAAAACCACUAUUUACUGACCAGUUAGGUAGGCUAGAAUAUUAGUUGUUUUGUUUUUAAUAUAAAAAUCACUGUAACUUAGAAUGUUUCAUUUGUGAAACAGUUUUGUUCCUGGGAAGUAACUUAGUAUAAUAAAAAUCAUUCAUUGUUAAUUUUACUUUUUACUAAGAACUGGUUUCCGUGCGAUCAAAGAAAACUUUGCCUGUCUAUAAAUUUCUAUACCCAGAAUAAUUCUAUAGAGAAAAUUACAUCUCUUUUUUAAACGUACCUGACCAGUUCCUAUUCAUGGUAGAAUUAAAUGCCUAUUUAUAUUGUAGCUAUUGUAUGGAAAGUAGACUUACCGAAUGGAGUUCAAGCUCUUCUUAUAACGUAGGUGGUUGGUUAACAUCCAUCUUCCUUAUCCACUCCUUAACGAAUUCCUGCUGUAGCACAGCGGCCACACCACAUUUUAUAAAAUUAAAACCAGGCAGAGGUAGGCUUAAGUAUAUCUCCUUCUCUCUGAAUGUAAUUAGUAAAAUUUGAGGAGAUAUAUACUGUAUUUGUGUAGCGUCACUGGCGUCAUUAUUUAUUAACACAAAGCCUUCAGGCUUUCAGAUUUGGGAACGUUACUGGAAAGCCAAACUUACUCUAUUGGCUCUCCUGCUGUAGCAAUAGGGGUAAAUUCGCUUAACACCCAUGACUGGCGACUUAAUUGUUCUUUGUCGUGAUAAUGACUGAUGACUUUCUCUCGAUGUCUUUGUUUGAGGUUGACAGUGACGCGAAAAUGUAAUCAUGGCUCCGCGCCAUGCCGUAUUGUUGGCGUUUCGAAAUGAAUCAACUAAAAGUGUUUACACAAAAUGUAAGGCUUGUGAUGCGCUGUGACUAAGAAACCUUUUCUUUUGUUUUGAACUUCAUUUUGCUACGAACUACGCUGAUUUUGUGACAGGAAAAUAAGGUUACAUAUAAGAUAUGAAUCAUAAGAAAGAAAAGGUUGCCCGGGGUUUUUAUCAGAGCAAUUAGUUUAAAAACUUAAAAUGAAAAUUCUUUUCCGUGAUUUUCAGAAACGUCGGUGCUAUGUGCCUUUAGUUUAGCUAGUGUUAUGUUUCUGUUCAAAGCUCUCUUAUAUGGCCGUAUUCAAGGAUUGUUUAAGACUCCGUCUAUCAAGUUAACAGUUGAAGAUCUUGCAAGUACAUCUCUCUCUAUGCUUAUGUUACGUGUAACCGUUAUGCCGACCGGCGCUGUUUACGCUCCGAGAACGUCUGCAGAUGCGUAUACGUCUACUAGAUUGUUUAUAUUUUAGAUAUCUCCAUAAACACUGCAAUCUGCCCUUUAAUCCAUCACAAUAAAGUUGGGAUUUGCAAAUUAAAAAAAUAUAGUGUUUCUUAGACUUAUCAACAUUUCAUACACGACAAGGUGGGCCGAGUAUGAUAUUCGUGACGUUGUCUUCCUAAAUUCUGCCACGUGUUUUCUAAAUCCGGCGCCACGAAAAUUGUUUAUUAUCCAAACGGUUUCUGGCGUGAAUAAACUAUUUAAACAGUGUUAAGUGAGCACUCUGAAGAAACCCUUUGAUAUCCGUGGGAGAAGCGGCUUAUGAUUUAUUAUUUAACGGGUCGAGAAUUUAAUAGAAACGUACAAUUUUGACUUUAGAUACUAUUUGAAUAUUCUCAUGCUAAAUAUUAGAAAAAUUGUGAAAGUUUAAAUAACGCAGGACAAAAUUAACAAAUGCACUACAUACUUUUCAACAUAAUUUUACGAAUUAUGUAACUAAAAUUUUCCUGGUUUCGUUGGAAAAUUUCGAGAAUUAUUUGCAAGCUACAUCCAAGUUAAAAAUAGCAUGUUCAACUAGGUAAAUCGUCUCGAAGAAUGGAGAGAUUAGUCAAAGAGGUAACGGGCCAGUGCAGCGACAAAAACGGUAUCAAUUAACUUUUUUCUACCACCUCACUCCAGGCCAGGCGAGUAUUUCCAAUCACUGCAAGCGUUUCGUCUACCUCUCCUCUUGUAAAUUGCACCUUGUUUUCUGCAGGAUAACGUUCGUAUUUUCAAAAAAGUGUAAUAUGAAAUAAGAGAGUUAGAAAAUAAUUGGUCGUUUUCGUCCGAGGGAAACGUCUUUAGUCGUGCGAUUUGCUUUCGAUGCGAUAGGGAUCCAUUCGUUUUGCUCGUUUUAACUUUGAUUUAAAUUGUAUCGAUGCUGGAGGCGAUUAAGGCUUCUGCGCUUGUUGGGAAGUAGUUACACGAAAUUUAUAUUGAACUGUUUUGUUUCAAUUUACGUCGGUGACGACAGCGUUGAAUUGACGUCACUGGGUUAACCUGUAGCAAAUGAUUUUAUGAUUGUAUAGUUACAUAGUUUAAGAGUAAACAGACACCUAUUUUCAACCGACCUGUAAGGCAGGUAUUUUUUAUGAAAGUAGGAAAACUUUUUUCUUGUAUUUCUAAUUGAGUCGCUUAACUUCAAACUCAGAUAAAUCCAACAGUCAAAUAAGUCAGAUUUUGCGACGUCUUUAGUAUGUAUGUAUGUAACUAUGUAGUAUUAAGAAAAGGUAAUAGGGUAUAUAUUUCCUAAGAGGGUCUAAAAGAUUUAUCCAAGUUUGAAGAUAAGCGACACAAUUGUAAGCAUUUCAAUUUUUGAAUUCGAAAAAUAGACUUUUCAACUGCAUAAUACACUUUCUAAUUUUAGAUAAAAUAUUAAUCUAAUAUAAUAAUAUAUUAUUGUAUUUAACAAUAUGUAUAAGGCAUAAAUCUCCUUAAUAGGAAUGUUUAGCGACAUUUUAGCUGUCAUCGAAAGAACAAUGUAGUUUACAGUUCCCAACGCAGAUGUUUAAAAAGAAUCAACAGUUAACAACAUCGUAAAAAAAGUCGGACGUAAACAGUCACCGUUGAAAUUUUACAGUCUCUCUUGUUUCCUUUUCUUUUUUUUCCUAUCUCGAUACGCGGAGUUAAAAAAGAAACGGCAACCGCUACCAAGCGGGGGAAGAUUUAAUUCAUUGCUUUACGGGGAUGUACACACUCCUCUUGUUUACAAAUAUUCUCGCCAGCCAGUAUGUCUUCAUGAUUUGAUAUUAAAGCUUUCCAAUUUUAAAAAUGUGUUUACGUAUUUAUUCGCGAUCAUAACAUUGUAAUGCGAACAUUCUUAUCGAUUUCACAUUCAAAUCGAAGUUGGAUAAUCAUGCGAACGUUUCAGAGAAUCAACUUAUAGCAUCAAAGCAGUAUAGACGGAACUGCCAUAACAACAUAUCAGUAUCUCCUUGCUAACUCUCGGAUUUUAUGAAGCUGUUAAAUUUAAUAAGAGAGACAUUGUAGCCGCAUCUGUAACUCCACAUUCAAUCGAACUUUGUUACAAACUGUGAAUAAUAUUUUAACUUUAAAUUGUUUACGUUGAGAAGUCACCACAUAAACAUUCGGAGCAAAACGCAACACAUGUUACUAGCAUAUUUCAUACCUCUUAAAUAGCCACAGGCAUUUUCUGCUAUAGGUAUGCAAUAUAUUCUACAUAUUUAUUAUAUACGGCACCAUACGUAAAAAAAUACAAGGUGACUGACGACUUAAUAACGUAAGUUUAGCAAUACCUAUGUAACAAAAAACAUAAUUCGGUAUAAUUAAUGAUGUUUGUGAGCGAUACUAAUAUUACUCGUGUACGCAUAUAGAUUUUAAAUUCCUAAUGAUUGUAGUCACUGUUUCGGUAACUUCUGAUUGCGAUUCACUAACACUAAAUGACCCCCGAUUGCCUAUAAAACUGCUUGGCGAAAGAUGUGUAUUCCGAUUGAUUCCCGAUGAAAUUAGUGGAAGCGACCAGCCCACACCCGUGGAAAAUAAAUCUGUCAAGGGGGAGGCAAGGCGUGCGUAAUUUGUUGAUUCUAAAGCGCUGGGCGGGAAUGCAGCCAAUCGUUUCUCAUCAAAAGGUGCUUUAUAUUCACCUAACCUAUAAACGUCAUUUUCUAAACCCCGACCUAUUAAACUUGUAAUGCAUUAGACGCCGCAUCCAAAACAAAUGAAGUACAAGGUAUACUGGAUUACUCUUGAUUCAUGACAUCAGACCCUGACCGAAUUUGGCGCAACAUAAUCUAAACUUAGAUUGGUAACUUUGUAUGUUUUAUUUUUAAAUUGAUGUUUUCUGUUGCAGGUAAAUACAUUGAAAUAUUUGGAGGCCAAUGUCUACAAAUUCAAAAUAGAAUUGAGUAAGUCUAAUGACUCUGGAAACACUUUGAAUCUACGUGUGUGUUAUGUGAGUAAUUGAAUAAUAACGGUUGGAAAUUGCCCAUUUCGACAUUAAAUUAAGUUCCAAACGCCAAUACCUAAAAGAUAAUAUUAUCAGAUGCUACUUUUUGAAUGUUAAUAUUUGCCGAUGAAAACUAUAUUUGUAUGCCUUUUCCUCGAUUCCUCGUGGAUCCUAUCAUUAGAGCUGGAUUUUGACAGAAAUUGAUCUAUCUGUAAGAAUAUACUUUCAAAAACAAAUAAUAAUUUUCCAAACGGCUUGAGAAAAGAUGGAGCUCUGAGAUAACAAAUAUUACAAAUAAUAUUUAAAUAAAAUGCAUACAACCGAAUUGAGUAUCCAAAGGUUCCGCUGCCCAAAAGUUGUCUGGAAGAGAUCGCUCUUUAGCGAUAAGACCGCCUGUUGUCUGCCUCUAUCACUAAUCAAUUGUUUUUCUUUAAGCUGUAUCUUUUACUGAGGUGUGCCAAUAAAGAGUAUUCUAUCUAUCUAUCUUGAGUACUUGCUCCUUUUGAAAAUUUGAAGUUGGUUAAAAAAAAUAUGACAACCCUCAGUGGAGAAUCAAAGUAUCAAAACUAGCCAGUCCAUCGCCGGGCAAUAACGGCGGCGGUCGGAAAUUGGGGAUGUAUCGUGAGCGGCGGCGGUCUAAGCGACGCGAUUACACGAUCAACACCCAAUCGUAGACCUGGGCUGCAAUCUUGUCAUAUCGAUAAACAUAUUUUCCCUUUCCAUAAAAAUAGAGAUGUACAGCAGACUGCAAAAUUUUAUGGGCACAUUAUGAAUAAAUCAAUCGCAUGAUGCAUAUCCAGCACGCAGCGCCCCAUUCCCAAAACAAAAUGAACUUUUGAAUGUUCGAUUCAGAUGGUGACUGCAGCAGCGUUAUUGUUGCAAUGUAUUUCUGAAGCUUUGACGUUAGGCCAUGGCACUGUCCUUUUCUUUGAUAAAUUGGUGUCGUUACCGCAAUAGGGCGACCGCUAGCUGGCGCGGGUGCACGGAGCGGGGGAACGCACGCAGAUGCCAUUGUAGGUGAAAUCCGUCGCAUUGAUGCGUCCGCGCCAGUUAGCGUUGCCGUUGCCCAUACUAUUUUUCGUUAACCCGCUUACUAGCUCCAUGCAACCGUGCCAGUUAGCGGACGCCCUUACGCUCUCGAUUAGAACGUUUAAUCCGUCACUAAUUUUGCUACGUCAUCCGGUUGUAACCAACCAUUAGGACCUAAUUAAAUAAUCCACACAUAAUUCUGAUUUUAGAAGCAGGAACAUUCAGCACUGUGUUCUUAAAAACGUUUUAACCUAACCUAACUACUAGAGUCAUGUGUGUCUCACUACUCGCUAUAUUAGCAACAUACCCCGGUCAUAGUUUGUAAAGCCAGGCAUGUCGGGUUAUAUGAUCAACCGUUACAUUUUUGUGCAAAAAAUUGUAUAGUCAGACCAAGCUAAGUUGUCAGCAAUUUUGAUAGUCGAGACAGUGCAAGUGUUAAGUCUGUGCUAUCAAAAUCACUGCAAACUUAGCUUGGCCUGACUCUAAUUACAUUUUUGAUUUUUUCGUCCUUUUCAUCUUAACACAUGCGCUUGCGUCCUAAGGCAGCCAGAUGUCCACCGGCAACAAACUUCGAAAAAUUGGCGUAAGCACUUUUAUUUUUGACGAAAGUAAGUGCCCCAGAUAAUUUUUUUAACUCAGAAGGGAAAAGGAGACAGUUUGUGACAUGUGACUUUUGUGAAGAAUGGCAGUGUCACCAUUAUCUUAUCAAGCUGGGAAUGUAUUUGUUGUUGUUGGGUAUUUCGUAAUUUUUUGUGCGAUGUCACGACAUGUCAGGAAGCAAUAUGUAGUUUAGGACCACUUUUAGGUACGUCCGAAAUGCUUGUUCAUUCACUUUGUUUUACCGUUUCCUCGCUCCAAGUAAACGGUAGUGACGUUACACAAGUAAUGUGUAUGUAAUGUUACGACCCCGACACGUGCGGCGCGGAUUCUUUCGGGCUUCCGUC